GACGAACGCUGGCGGCGUGCUUAACACAUGCAAGUCGAACGGAAAGGCCCUGCUUUUGUGGGGUGCUCGAGUGGCGAACGGGUGAGUAACACGUGAGUAACCUGCCCUUGACUUUGGGAUAACUUCAGGAAACUGGGGCUAAUACCGGAUAGGAGCUCCUGCUGCAUGGUGGUGGUUGGAAAGUUUCGGCGGUUGGGGAUGGACUCGCGGCUUAUCAGCUUGUUGGUGGGGUAGUGGCUUACCAAGGCUUUGACGGGUAGCCGGCAUGAGAGGGUGACCGGCCACAUUGGGACUGAGAUACGGCCCAGAAUCGUACGGGAGGCAGCAGUGGGGAAUAUUGCACAAUGGGCGGAAGCCUGAUGCAGCAACGCCGCGUGCGGGAUGACGGCCUUCGGGUUGUAAACCGCUUUCGCAUGUGACGAAGCGUGAGUGACGGUAAUGGGUAAAGAAGCACCGGCUAACUACGUG
rnacentral:rRNA from 1 species